GUGCUCGCUUCGGCAGCACAUAUACUAAAAUUGGAACGAUACAGAGAAGAUUAGCAUGGCCCCUGCGCAAGACUUAUUUCCAGUAUGGGAUUAGGUUCAAUAAACUCUC